rnacentral:pre_miRNA from 1 species
AUAUGUAAGCAGUGAAGAGGAGAGAUCCCAAGAGCAGUGGGAGUGGAAACAUGGAAGAAAGCCCUGCUUGUUUGCUUGUACCUCUAGUGUUGGGAUGCAAAUAUUUCGCAGGGAUCCUUUCCUGAUGCCUCCCAUUCCUACCAUUCUUGUGCACUCCUUCCUCUUCAUUUUGGUU